GACGAACGCUGGCGGCGUGCUUAACACAUGCAAGUCGAACGGAAAGGCCCUGCUUUUGUGGGGUGCUCGAGUGGCGAACGGGUGAGUAACACGUGAGUAAUCUGCCCUUGACUUUGGGAUAACUUCAGGAAACUGGGGCUAAUACCGGAUAGGAGCUCCUGCUGCAUGGUGGGGGGUGGAAAGUUUCGGCGGUUGGGGAUGGACUCGCGGCUUAUCAGCUUGUUGGUGGGGUAGUGGCUUACCAAGGCUUUGACGGGUAGCCGGCCUGAGAGGGUGACCGGCCACAUUGGGACUGAGAUACGGCCCAGACUCCUACGGGAGGCAGCAGUGGGGAAUAUUGCACAAUGGGCGGAAGCCUGAUGCAGCAACGCCGCGUGCGGGAUGACGGCCUUCGGGUUGUAAACCGCUUUCGCCUGUGACGAAGCGUGAGUGACGGUAAUGGGUAAAGAAGCACCGGCUAACUACGUG
rnacentral:rRNA from 1 species